UACGAAGGUCCCAAGCGUUAUCCGGAUUUAUUGGGUUUAAAGGGUGCGUAGGCGGACUAUUAAGUCAGUGGUGAAAGCCCCCAGCCUAACUGGGGAACUGCCAUUGAUACUGAUGGUCUUGAGUACAUUUGAGGUAGGCGGAAUUGACGGUGUAGCGGUGAAAUGCUUAGAUAUCGUCAAGAACACCGAUAGUGAAGACAGCUUACCAAGCUUCAACUGACGCUGAGGCACGAAAGUGUGGGGAUCAAACAGG
rnacentral:rRNA from 1 species